rnacentral:siRNA from 1 species
GAGACUUAUUUACAAUGGCUGCCA